ACUUAUCUGAAAUUAUUCAAAAUGACAUAAUAAUUUUUCAUGUUAUAUAUAUUUCCUUUCUAUAUUCUUAUAAAUCACGAAAAUUUCUUCAAAUAUUCUUUUCAAUCGAUCGAUAAUAUUUUAUUCUCAUUUUUUAUGGAAGAUAUCAUAGAUUAUAUAAAAUGCGAUCAAGUUAAGCCGUUGUUGACGCGUAGAAUCAGUCCAAUAAUUACCAGCACCGUUUUAAGCCUGUGACAAUUUCCUUCGAUUAACCGAUGACGUAACCCCGCGUUUCUUCGCUUGGAAAAGUUGUUAACCGUGUAUUACGUCUUUCAUAAGCUAAUGCCGCGGACCUUUAACGGUGUUAUUGCGUCUUUUGUCAAGCGAGUUCGGGGACAAAAGCGGCCAUAUCUGCCGAGGUCUUCGUUUACGUCACGUUUUGUUAAAAAUCUUAUUUUUUUUUUUUCCUUCACAGUUCUUCGACAAUUUGUUCACCGGUAUAUAUGCUUUUGUUUCGAUUUGGUACGUUAGACGGGUAUCUUUCUCGGCGAAUUGAAUACUGUUCCGUGGAAUUGUUGGAUUCAUUUCAGUCUUCGAGACACGUGUUCAACAGAUGUUAACUAAGAGAGAUGGUAUAACGGUAAAGGAUUCCAAGUUUGGUGCGAUGUGACGCGAAGAAAAUGAUUUCGAGAAGAAGUUUCAUUUCUUCUCUGAACUCUAUUCUAUUAAAUUACUAUCGGUUUUAUGGGUAUUGAUUUUUACAUAUAAGGAGAACUCAGGAGGAAUCCAAAAGAGGCCAGAGCCUUUCGUGUCUCGAAGGAACUCGACGCAGGUGCGAAACGAUGGACACGUGCACGUGCAACUAUAAAAUUUUUAUAUCUCUAAGGCGACAGGGAAAUGAUUUAUUUUUCUUCGUUUUGAAAUCUUUCGUUAUUUUUAUUAAGAAAAUUUUAAACAAAAGUAUUUUUUACAGAAGAUUGUAAAAUAAUUAUUUGUAUAAUUGUUGGUAAUUUUUAUGAAUAUUUAUAUCAUUUCAUAAUUUCACAAUAGAUUAGAAGAAUUUUUUAGAAGAAUAAAAUUUUUAAAAUUACGAAAAAUUUCUAUUUAUAAAAAAUUGUAGAUUUUAUACGCAAUUUUUUGAUAAUUUGAAACAAUUUAAAGAUUUUCUAUAAAAUUAUGAAUAAUCUGCUGAUAUAUAUUUUUUUAUGUACAAAAAGAUUGAACGUAAUUCCAUCUUAAUAUUCCAUUUUAUCAUAGAGUUAAAAAUCUUUAUUCAUUUCAUCUUUUAAUAUUUUUUUAAAAAAGUUAAAAAUUCGAUAAUUAAAACAUCAAUUUAAUAUCCUCUCUUAAUUUUCCUUCAUCGUUUUUUCCUUUCCAAUUUAAAAAUUCACCAAUAUCAUUACUAAUUAAAACUAUUAUAAUUAUUCUAGCAAUAAUAUAAUAUAUCGUAUAUAAUAUUAUCACAUAAUUAUUUGAUCAUUAUUAUCACGUAAUUAUUAAUUUGGCAAAUUAGAUAAAUGUUUGAAAUUUGAAAAGUUAAAAAAAAUUCCACGUUAUAAAUUUUUCUUUACUUCCUUUAUUAUUCCACGAAACUAAAAAUGUAGAAACUUUAUAAAGAUGUCAUUGUUCGAUAUUAUACAUUUAUGAAGAUAUCCUCGAUGUUUAUAGGUCGAUUCAUCUAUAAUCCACGGUUGGAAAAUUCUCGCCGGAAACCUCGCUAUCAUAAAUUUGUCACUGUUGUUGGGAGGGUGUUUUCCUCGUAGAUCAUUUUUGUUUCGUUAGCUGGAAUCUUGCAGGGUGUUUGCGGGAUUCUGGAAAAAUAUCGCGGAUACUUAUCGCAUCUUCCUCUACGAGGCUUAUUUAUGUAUCUCAAGGGUGAGGCAAUUUGUAAAUUUAAAAGUGUCCAACUCUUGAAAUAUCGCAUACGAUGCGAAGUAACGAUUUGCGAGAUAAAUAGUUUUAGAAUUAUGUGUAAAAAGGAGAUAAAGAAUCGUAGAUUUUGUCGAUUUAACGUAAGAAAUAAAAAUAAAAUUGAGAAUCUUAUUAACUAUGGUUACUUUUAUUAUUUAUUUUAAGAAUUUCUUUUAAUCUAUUUUUAUUAUUAUCAUUUUUUUCGAUAUGCAAUUAGAUUUUUAAAAAAUUGUUGUAAACCUUGAAUUUAUUUGAAAAUUUUUUCUACAAAAGAUUAUUUAUUUGAAAAAUAUAUUGAAAUCCUUGAAAUAUUUGAUCAAAAAUUUUUGUAAUUUAUUUAAAAAUUUUUUAUUCUUUUAUUUAUUUAUUUUUCAGUUAUUAAUUAAAAUUCUAAUUCGUAUAAUAUUAUAUGAAAGAUAGAAAGAUUCAUUAGUUUCUGUAAUCACUGUACAAAAUUGCCAAAGUUUAAUGAAACACUAAAGUUAUAUUGUAAAAUAUUGAUGAUAAACAAUAUUCAUGUUGAUGUUAUCUUUGGAGGAAAUCCUGUUACAGUUAUAAAUAUCUUUAGACAUGAUUUAAUCACGAAUAGUUUACUAUGCUAUCCUUGAUCACUAUAAAGUUCUUAGUAACAUGAAACAACUUUGUUAUUUUAUUAUAUUUUGUAUCCUUUAAGUAUAUAUGAUAUGAUUUUUUUCAUAAAAACGAAUAAUUUAUCAUUUGUUAAAAUUACAGAGAAUAAAAAAUUCUAAUUAAAUAAUUUAUUUUCAAAGCCAAAAAUUGUACAUGUGUUUUCAUCAUUAUUAUUCAUAGAAUCAUUAAGUUACUAAAAUUAUCAAAUAUUUUUUCCUGUAAUAAUAAAAACUUUUCAUUAUUCUUAAAAAUAUUAAAUAAUGUUAUCUUAUUUUUGCUAUCAUUUUUUAUUUCCUGGAAAUUAUUUUUUUCUAUAAGAUAAUGAAAUAACAUUACAAAGUAUUUAUUACAUCUGUUAGAAUGAAUUAAACUUUAUAUCUUAUUUGAUUUACAACUAUCUUUUUUUAAACUAAUAAAAAUAAAACUUACAAUUAUAGAGGAAAAAUAAUAUUUUUAUUUUUGUUUUUUUUUUAUUAUCUAGUGAUUAAAAGGAUAUGCUAUCAAUGUCAUACCAAAAUAAAAAAAAAUUUAACAAAUUUCAAAGUAUAAUUUUGUUUAUAGAUGUAUUAAAUAUCAUUAAAUAUCAUUUUAUCAAUUACAGAUAUAAGUUUAAAUUUAAAACUACUUUUCUACAAAAAUUGGAAAAUGUAAUUUUCCUCCUCUUUUGUACUUUUCAAAUGUAUAUGUAUGUAUGGUUUACAAAUACAUUUAAACAAUAUUUAAACAGAA